UGGGGAAUAUUGGACAAUGGGCGCAAGCCUGAUCCAGCAAUGCCGCGUGUGUGAAGAAGGCCUGCGGGUUGUAAAGCACUUUAGUUGGGGAGAAAGAGGUUUAUGUUAAUAGCAUGAACUGAUGAUGUUACCCAAAGAAUAAGCACCGGCUAACUCUGUGCCAGCAGCCGCGGUAAUACAGAGGGUGCGAGCGUUAAUCGGAAUUACUGGGCGUAAAGGGUGCGUAGGUGGUUGAAUAAGUUAGGUGUGAAAUUCCUGGGCUUAACCUGGGGACUGCGCCUGAUACUGUUUAGCUAGAGUACUGUAGAGGAAAGUGGAAUUUCCGGUGUAGCGGUGAAAUGCGUAGAUAUCGGAAGGAACACCAGUGGCGAAAGCGACUUUCUGGACAGAUACUGACACUGAGGCACGAAAGCAUGGGGAGCAAACAGG
rnacentral:rRNA from 1 species